AGAGUUUGAUCCUGGCUCAGGAUGAACGCUGGCGGCGUGCCUAACACAUGCAAGUCGAACGAAGCUUGACGGAUGAUUUCUUCGGAAUGAAACCAGAUAUGACUUAGUGGCGGACGGGUGAGUAACACGUGAGCAACCUGCCUUUCAGAGGGGGAUAACGGCUGGAAACGGUCGCUAAUACCGCAUGAUGUGUUCGGAUGGCAUCAUCUGAACAUCAAAGAUUUAUCGCUGAAAGAUGGGCUCGCGUCUGAUUAGAUAGUUGGUGGGGUAACGGCCUACCAAGUCGACGAUCAGUAGCCGGACUGAGAGGUUGAACGGCCACAUUGGGACUGAGAUACGGCCCAGACUCCUACGGGAGGCAGCAGUGGGGAAUAUUGCACAAUGGGGGAAACCCUGAUGCAGCAACGCCGCGUGAAGGAUGACGGUUUUCGGAUUGUAAACUUCUUUUCUUAGUGACGAAGACAGUGACGGUAGCUAAGGAAUAAGCAUCGGCUAACUACGUGCCAGCAGCCGCGGUAAUACGUAGGAUGCAAGCGUUAUCCGGAUUUACUGGGUGUAAAGGGAGCGCAGGCGGGACUGCAAGUUGGAUGUGAAAUACCGUGGCUUAACCACGGAACUGCAUCCAAAACUGUAGUUCUUGAGUGAAGUAGAGGCAAGCGGAAUUCCGAGUGUAGCGGUGAAAUGCGUAGAUAUUCGGAGGAACACCAGUGGCGAAGGCGGCUUGCUGGGCUUUAACUGACGCUGAGGCUCGAAAGUGUGGGGAGCAAACAGGAUUAGAUACCCUGGUAGUCCACACUGUAAACGAUGAUAGCUAGGUGUGGGGGGUCUGACCCCUUCCGUGCCGGAGUUAACGCAAUAAGCUAUCCACCUGGGGAGUACGACCGCAAGGUUGAAACUCAAAGGAAUUGACGGGGGCCCGCACAAGCAGUGGAGUAUGUGGUUUAAUUCGACGCAACGCGAAGAACCUUACCAAGUCUUGACAUCCCUUGACAGGCAUAGAAAUAUGUUUUCUCUUCGGAGCAAGGAGACAGGUGGUGCAUGGUUGUCGUCAGCUCGUGUCGUGAGAUGUUGGGUUAAG
rnacentral:rRNA from 1 species